CCUACGGGUGGCAGCAGUGGGGAAUAUUGCACAAUGGGGGAAACCCUGAUGCAGCAACGCCGCGUGAAGGAAGACGGUUUUCGGAGUGUAAAACUCUGUUCGUAGUGAAGAAUAAUGACGGUAGCUUAGUAGCAAGCCACGGCUAACUACGUGCCAGCAGCCGCGGUAAUACGUAGGUGGCAAGCGUUAUCCGGAAUUACUGGGUGUAAAGGGAGCGCAGGCGGGAAGCCAAGUCAGCUGUGAAAGCUAAGGGCUAAACUUGUAGACUGCAGUUGAAACUGGUGUUCUUGAGUGAAGUAGAGGUUGGCGGAAUUCCGAGUGUAGCGGUGAAAUGCGUAGAUAUUCGGAGGAACACCGGUGGCGAAGGCGGCCAACUGGGCUUUAACUGACGCUGAGGCUCGAAAGUGUGGGGAGCAAACAGGAUUAGAUACCCUUGUAGUC
rnacentral:rRNA from 1 species